AUUGAACGCUGGCGGCAUGCCUUACACAUGCAAGUCGAACGGUAACAGGUCUUCGGAUGCUGACGAGUGGCGAACGGGUGAGUAAUCCAUCGGAACGUGCCUAGUAGUGGGGGAUAACUACUCGAAAGAGUGGCUAAUACCGCCUGAGAUCUACGGAUGAAAGCAGGGGAUUGGCAUACCUUGUGCUACCAGAGCGCCCGAUGGCAGAUUAGGUAGUUGGUGGGAUAAAAGCUUACCAAGCCGACGAUCUGUAGCUGGUCUGGGAGGACGAUCAGCCAGAGUGGGACUGGGACUCGGCCCAGACUCCUACGGGAGGCAGCAGUGGGGAAUUUUGGACAAUGGGCGAAAGCCUGAUCCAGCAAUGCCGCGUGCAGGAUGAAGGCCUUCGGGUUGUAAACUGCUUUUGUACGGAACGAAAAGCCCCGGGUUAAUACCCUGGGGUCAUGACGGUACCGUAAGAAUAAGCACCGGCUAACUACGUGCCAGCCGCCGCCGUAA
rnacentral:rRNA from 1 species